GCCGCGGUGGUGGAAUUGGCAGACACGUAGCGUUCAGGGCGCUAUGAUCGCAAGGUCGUGGGAGUUCAAAUCUCCCCCGCGGCA
rnacentral:tRNA from 2 species